CGGGGUGCAGCAGGCGCGAAAACUUUACAAUGCUGGCAACAGCGAUAAGGGGACCUCGAGUGCCAGGUUACAAAUCUGGCUGUCGUGAUGCCUAAAAAGCAUUGCAUAGCAAGGGCCGGGCAAGACCGGUGCCAGCCGCCGCGGUAACACCGGCGGCUCGAGUGGUAACCGUUAUUAUUGGGUCUAAAGGGUCUGUAGCCGGCCGGAUAAGUCUCUUGGGAAAUCUGGCAGCUUAACUGUCAGGCUUUCAGGAGAUACUGUCUGGCUCGAGGCCGGGAGAGGUGAGAGGUACUUCAGGGGUAGGGGUGAAAUCUUGUAAUCCUUGAAGGACCACCAGUGGCGAAGGCGUCUCACCAGAACGGACCUGACGGCAAGGGACGAAAGCUAGGGGCACGAACCGGAUUAGAUACCCGGGUAGUCCUAGCCGUAAACGAUACUCGCUAGGUGUCGGCCACGGUGCGACCGUUGUCGGUGCCGUAGGGAAGCCGUGAAGCGAGCCACCUGGGAAGUACGGCCGCAAGGCUGAAACUUAAAGGAAUUGGCGGGGGAGCACAAGGGCGAUUGCG
rnacentral:rRNA from 1 species